rnacentral:rRNA from 1 species
GACGAACGCUGGCGGCGUGCUUAACACAUGCAAGUCGAACGGAAAGGCCCUGCUUUUGUGGGGUGCUCGAGUGGCGAACGGGUGAGUAACACGUGAGUAGCCUGCCCUUGACUUUGGGAUAACUUCAGGAAACUGGGGCUAAUACCGGAUAGGAGCUCCUGCUGCAUGGUGGGGGUUGGAAAGUUUCGGCGGUUGGGGAUGGACUCGCGGCUUAUCAGCUUGUUGGUGGGGUAGUGGCUUACCAAGGCUUUGACGGGUAGCCGGCCUGAGAGGGUGACCGGCCACAUUGGGACUGAGAUACGGCCCAGACUCCUACGGGGGGCAGCAGUGGGGAAUAUUGCACAAUGGGCGGAAGCCUGAUGCAGCAACGCCGCGUGCGGGAUGACGGCCUUCGGGUUGUAAACCGCUUUCGCCUGUGACGAAGCGUGAGUGACGGUAAUGGGUAAAGAAGCACCGGCUAACUACGUG